rnacentral:rRNA from 1 species
GACAGAGGAUGCAAGCGUUAUCCGGAAUGAUUGGGCGUAAAGCGUCUGUAGGUGGCUUUUUAAGUCCGCCGUCAAAUCCCAGGGCUUAACCCUGGCCAGGCGGUGGAGACUACUAAGCUUGAGUACGGUAGGGGCAGAGGGAAUUUCCGGUGGAGCGGUGAAAUGCGUAGAGAUCGGAAAGAACACCAAGGGCGAAGGCACUCUGCUGGGCCGACACUGACACUGAGAGACGAGAGCUAGGGGGAGCGAAUGGG